UACGGAGGGUGCAAGCGUUGUUCGGAUUUAUUGGGCGUAAAGCGCGUGUAGGCGGUCUUCUAAGUCUGAUGUGAAAUCCCUCGGCUUAACCGGGGAACUGCGUCUGAUACUGGAUGGCUUGAGUUCGGGAGGGGGAUGCGGAAUUCCAGGUGUAGCGGUGAAAUGCGUAGAUAUCUGGAGGAACACCGGUGGCGAAGGCGGCAUCCUGGACCGACACUGACACUGAGGAGCGAAAGCCAGGGGAGCAAACGGG
rnacentral:rRNA from 1 species